AGGACGACGCUGGCGGCGUGCCUAAUACAUGCAAGUCGAACGGUCUUUUCUAUGGAAGCUUGCUUCCACUGAGAAGAUAGUGGCGAACGGGUGAGUAACACGUGGGUAACCUGCCCAUAAGAGGGGGAUAACAUCCGGAAACGGGUGCUAAUACCGCAUAGUUUCUUGAUCGCAUGAUCGGGAAAGGAAAGACGGCCUUUGUGCUGUCGCUUAUGGAUGGACCCGCGGCGUAUUAGUUAGUUGGUGAGGUAACGGCUCACCAAGACGAUGAUACGUAGCCGACCUGAGAGGGUGAUCGGCCACAUUGGGACUGAGACACGGCCCAAACUCCUACGGGAGGCAGCAGUGAGGAAUUUUCCGCAAUGGGCGAAAGCCUGACGGAGCAAUACCGCGUGAAGGAAGAAGGUCCGUGGAUCGUAAACUUCUUUUCUCAAGGAAGAAACAAUGACGGUACUUGAGGAAUAAGCACCGGCUAACUCUGUG
rnacentral:rRNA from 1 species